GCAUAUCAAUAAGCGGAGGAAAAGAAACCAACAGGGAUUGCCCUAGUAACGGCGAGUGAAGCGGCAACAGCUCAAAUUUGAAAUCUGGCCCUUGUGGUCCGAGUUGUAAUUUGUAGAGGAUGCUUUUGGUGAGGUACCUUCCGAGUUCCCUGGAACGGGACGCCAUAGAGGGUGAGAGCCCCGUCUGGUUGGAUACCGAGCCUCUGUAAAGCUCCUUCGACGAGUCGAGUAGUUUGGGAAUGCUGCUCUAAAUGGGAGGUAUAUGUCUUCUAAAGCUAAAUAUUGGCCAGAGACCGAUAGCGCACAAGUAGAGUGAUCGAAAGAUGAAAAGCACUUUGAAAAGAGGGUUAAAUAGUACGUGAAAUUGUUGAAAGGGAAGCGCUUGUGACCAGACUUGGGCUUGGUUAAUCAUCCAGGGUUCUCCCUGGUGCACUUGGCCAGCCCAGGCCAGCAUCAGUUUGUCGCGGGGGAUAAAGGCGUCGGGAAUGUGGCUCCCCCGGGAGUGUUAUAGCCCUUCGUGUAAUACCCUGCUUUAGACUGAGGUUCGCGCAUCUGCAAGGAUGCUGGCGUAAUGGUCAUCAGCGACCCGUCUUGAAACACGGACCAAGGA
rnacentral:rRNA from 1 species